rnacentral:rRNA from 1 species
UGCGUAGGUGGCGUGGUAAGUCAGAUGUGAAAGCCCGGGGCUCAACCUCGGAAUUGCAUCCGAUACUGCUAUGCUAGAGUACUGAAGGGGUGACUAGAAUUCUAGGUGUAGCAGUGAAAUGCGUAGAUAUCUAGAGGAAUACCAAAGGCGUAGGCAGGUCACUGGGCAGUUACUGACACUGAGGCACGAAGGCCAGGGGAGCAAACGGGAUUAGAUACCCCAGUA